AUGAGCACCAGGCUUCUCUGCUGGAUGGCCCUCUGUCUCCUGGGGGCAGAACUCUCAGAAGCUGAAGUUGCCCAGUCCCCCAGAUAUAAGAUUACAGAGAAAAGCCAGGCUGUGGCUUUUUGGUGUGAUCCUAUUUCUGGCCAUGCUACCCUUUACUGGUACCGGCAGAUCCUGGGACAGGGCCCGGAGCUUCUGGUUCAAUUUCAGGAUGAGAGUGUAGUAGAUGAUUCACAGUUGCCUAAGGAUCGAUUUUCUGCAGAGAGGCUCAAAGGAGUAGACUCCACUCUCAAGAUCCAGCCUGCAGAGCUUGGGGACUCGGCCAUGUAUCUCUGUGCCAGCAGCUUAGC